UCCGGUUUGGCACCGGCAGUCUCCCUAGAGUUCCCGGCAUCACCCGCUGGCAACUAAGGACAGGGGUUGCGCUCGUUGCGCCACUUAAGGCAACACCUCACGGCACGAGCUGACGACAGCCAUGCACCACCUGUGCAGGCUCCGAAGAGCACCCGUUUUCACGGGUUUCACCCUGCAUGUCAAGCCCAGGUAAGGUGGGGAUGACGUAACUGUACCAUAGA
rnacentral:misc_RNA from 1 species